CAGGUCUGCUUGUGGGGGUAGCUCUACUAUUCAGGGGAAGCCUCUCAUUGGGCCAUCUUAUGCAUCUGAGUGGCCAAUAAGAGAAGACUGAAUCUUUCCUCUCCUAGCAACAAGAGUCGUUUUCCCCUCUGAGACGUACAAUCAGCUAACUGAGAGUCUUAAUUUUACAAUAUGAAUAAAUGCAUGUUUGCAGCUUUGCAAAACAAAACAAAGAAAUCAUACUCAUUCUUCUCCACAAUCAGCGAAUCACUUAGUGAUUCUCUGCUGGUUCUCCCCCUCCAUCUUGUCUGAACGCUAUGUCUCCGAGUGUAUUCAGUUGGCUCCUGUAUAACCAUCUUAAAGGAACAGACCUGCAUAUUUAAGUUUUUGUGGCUGUGUGUUCACAGACAGUGGGGAAUGGUCUGCACUCGCUGACUUUCUGAGUAGGGGGGCCUCUCUCAGGAGGGAAAAAGGAAUACCUUGGCACAGAAACACCCUUUAGCUGGAGACGCUACCAACCCACUUGUAUGAGCUUCCAACUCUGUAGGCAUAUUUUACGCACAGUCCAGCUUCAGACAAAACUAUGUUUGUUCGAACAAUUGAAAGAAAAAAUAAAUAAAAAUGCAAUAAAAGUUAAGUUAGAAGAUUUAAAAACAUUUUGAUGUGUGUUCGUUGGUUUCAAGACGUUUAACAACAGAUCUCCUUGUGCGCUGUCACUCUCACAACCCAAUGCAUCAUGGGAGAUGUAGUGCAUUUAACGGCCGGCGGAGAUCGCUUUUCGGAGCUUCAUUGUUUUGUUCACUUGUUCCACGGUCUGAUACCGGAUUCUGUGGGAAGCUACACCGAUAAAGACGAGCUUUAGCUGGUAUUUUCUGUUAGAACCGAGCGACUUUACGAGCUAAAUCGGGACCAGGAAGUGAGGACUUUAACCACUUCUUAUUGGUCAGACUGAUGACAUGUGAUUAAGCUCCCCAAGAAUGAUUGGUGGAGACAGUUAAAGGGGCGGGACUUUUCCAAAAUACAGCCGGAGGUGCAGCUGAAUCGCGGUACCGUCAUUCUUAUCAAAAUGUCUUUAAUAAAAUAAAAUAAACGCAAAGAAAAAGUAUUUUACGAUCUUUUAUAUUCCUAACUCCUCAGUGUUUUAUCAGGGCCUGUUUGGAUGAACACAGAGCUGAAAUCCUGGAGAUGGGAAAUGUUUUUAGAUCAGUGAAUGAGGGCAAUUUCUCACGGCACACUUGACCAUGUCCCACGGCACACUAGUGUGCCGCGGCACACUGGUUGAAAAACACUGGUCUAAAUGGUCCAACAUCCACAUUUUAAAUUAAAGUAAAUUCUGUAUUACAUUUGGAAAUCAAGCUCAUGUAGAG
rnacentral:lncRNA from 1 species